AUGCUCGUCUCAGCAGGGUCCACGGUGAACAGACAUUCCUCAGUGUACUUCACGGCUGGGCGCACCUUAGAGGUCACAGAAGCCAAGCUGCAGGAGCAGAUGUGUCCAGGUUUCUCUUUGUACAAGGCAAGUCCAACCCAGGUGCCAAGCAUAAGAUCAAAAGUAACCACAGCCAUCAAACGGCAGUAUCCACUCACCGUUUGUCCACUUGAAGCUUCCGUCGUCUCCCAUGUGAAGGCUGUGGGUGGUGUGGGUAGCUAUAUCGCUGCUGACAAAUAUGGUUCGACUGUCAGGGAGGACAGCGUGGGAGAUCACAGACAUAGAGUCAAUGGGCACAUCUUUGAGCUUGUGCCACGAUGA
rnacentral:rRNA from 1 species